rnacentral:rRNA from 1 species
CAGUCGCCACGGUAAUACGAAGGGUGCAAGCGUUACUCGGAAUUACUGGGCGUAAAGCGUGCGUAGGUGGUGGUUUAAGUCCGUUGUGAAAGCCCUGGGCUCAACCUGGGAAUUGCAGUGGAUACUGGAUCACUAGAGUGUGGUAGAGGAUAGUGGAAUCUCCGGUGUAGCAGUGAAAUGCGUAGAGAUCGGAAGGAACAUCUGUGGCGAAGGCGACUAUCUGGGCCAACACUGACACUGAGGCACGAAAGCGUGGGGAGCAAACAGGAUUAGAUACCCGCGUAGUCCCUGUCUCUUAUAC